GCGGAUACGUCCGCAGGGAUGUGGCCCCAGAGGGCUGAACCACAAA
rfam:Thorarchaeota archaeon SMTZ1-83 WOR1_30_36_13483, whole genome shotgun sequence.